rnacentral:rRNA from 1 species
GAUGAACGCUGGCGGCGUGCCUAAUACAUGCGAGUCGAGCGAACGGACGAGAAGCUUGCUUUUCUGAUGUUAGCGGCGGACGGGUGAGUAACACGUGGAUAACCUACCUAUAAGACUGGGAUAACUUCGGGAAACCGGAGCUAAUACCGGAUAAUAUUUUGAACCGCAUGGUUCAAAAGUGAAAGACGGUCUUGCUGUCACUUAUAGAUGGAUCCGCGCUGCAUUAGCUAGUUGGUAAGGUAACGGCUUACCAAGGCAACGAUGCAUAGCCGACCUGAGAGGGUGAUCGGCCACACUGGAACUGAGACACGGUCCAGACUCCUACGGGAGGCAGCAGUAGGGAAUCUUCCGCAAUGGGCGAAAGCCUGACGGAGCAACGCCGCGUGAGUGAUGAAGGUCUUCAGAUCGUAAAACUCUGUUAUUAGGGAAGAACAUAUGUGUAAGUAACUGUGCACAUCUUGACGGUACCUAAUCAGAAAGCCACGGCUAACUACGUG